UACGUAGGGCGCAAGCGUUAUCCGGAAUUAUUGGGCGUAAAGAGCUCGUAGGCGGUUUGUCGCGUCUGCCGUGAAAGUCCGGGGCUCAACUCCGGAUCUGCGGUGGGUACGGGCAGACUAGAGUGAUGUAGGGGAGACUGGAAUUCCUGGUGUAGCGGUGAAAUGCGCAGAUAUCAGGAGGAACACCGAUGGCGAAGGCAGGUCUCUGGGCAUUAACUGACGCUGAGGAGCGAAAGCAUGGGGAGCGAGCAGG
rnacentral:rRNA from 1 species